rnacentral:rRNA from 1 species
CACGUAGGGCGCAAGCGUUGUCCGGAAUUAUUGGGCGUAAAGAGAUCGUAGGCGGUUUGUCGCGUCUGCCGUGAAAGUCCGGGGCUCAACUCCGGAUCUGCGGUGGGUACGGGCAGACUAGAGUGAUGUAGGGGAGACUGGAAUUCCUGGUGUAGCGGUGAAAUGCGCAGAUAUCAGGAGGAACACCGAUGGCGAAGGCAGGUCUCUGGGCAUUAACUGACGCUGAGGAGCGAAAGCAUGGGGAGCGAACAGG